GACGAACGCUGGCGGCGUGCUUAACACAUGCAAGUCGAACGGAAAGGCCCUGCUUUUGUGGGGUGCUCGAGUGGCGAACGGGUGAGUAACACGUGAGUAACCUGCCCUUGACUUUGGGAUAACUUCAGGAAACUGGGGCUAAUACCGGAUAGGAGCUCCUGCUGCAUGGUGGGGGUUGGAAAGUUUCGGCGGUUGGGGAUGGACUCGCGGCUUAUCAGCUUGUUGGUGGGGUAGUGGCUUACCAAGGCUUUGACGGGUAGCCGGCCUGAGAGGGUGACCGGCCACAUUGGGACUGAGGUACGGCCCAGACUCCAACGGGAGACAGCAGUGGGGAAUAUUGCACAAUGGGCGGAAGCCUGAUGCAGCGACGCCGCGUGCGGGAUGACGGCCUUCGGGUUGUGAACCGCUUUCGCCUGUGACGAAGCGUGAGUGACGGUAAUGGGUAAAGAAGCACCGGCUAACUACGUG
rnacentral:rRNA from 1 species